rnacentral:rRNA from 1 species
UACGUAGGGGGCAAGCGUUGUCCGGAAUUAUUGGGCGUAAAGCGCGCGCAGGCGGUCUCUUAAGUCUGAUGUGAAAGCCCACGGCUCAACCGUGGAGGGUCAUUGGAAACUGGGGGACUUGAGUGUAGGAGAGGAAAGUGGAAUUCCACGUGUAGCGGUGAAAUGCGUAGAUAUGUGGAGGAACACCAGUGGCGAAGGCGACUUUCUGGCCUACAACUGACGCUGAGGCGCGAAAGCGUGGGGAGCAAACAGGAUUAGAAACCCCUAGUAGUCC